GGGGGAUAUUGCGCAAUGGGGGCAACCCUGACGCAGCAACGCCGCGUGAAGGAUGAAGGUUUUCGGAUUGUAAACUUCUUUUAUUAAGGACGAAAAAUGACGGUACUUAAUGAAUAAGCUCCGGCUAACUACGUGCCGGCAGCCGCGGUAAUACGUAGGGAGCAAGCGUUGUCCGGAUUUACUGGGUGUAAAGGGUGCGUAGGCGGCUUUGCAAGUCAGAUGUGAAAUCUAUGGGCUCAACCCAUAAACUGCAUUUGAAACUGUAGAGCUUGAGUGAAGUAGAGGCAGGCGGAAUUCCCCGUGUAGCGGUGAAAUGCGUAGAGAUGGGGAGGAACACCAGUGGCGAAGGCGGCCUGCUGGGCUUUAACUGACGCUGAGGCACGAAAGCGUGGGUAGCAAACAGGAUUAGAUACCCUGGUAGUCCACGCUGUAAACGAUGAUUACUAGGUGUGGGGGGUCUGACCCCUUCCGUGCCGGAGUUAACACAAUAAGUAAUCCACCUGGGGAGUACGGCCGCAAGGUUGAAACUCAAAGGAAUUGACGGGGGCCCGCACAAGCAGUGGAGUAUGUGGUUUAAUUCGAAGCAACGCGAAGAACCUUACCAGGUCUUGACAUCCAACUAACGAAGUAGAGAUACAUUAGGUGCCCUUCGGGGAAAGUUGAGACAGGUGGUGCAUGGUUGUCGUCAGCUCGUGUCGUGAGAUGUUGGGUUAAGUCCCGCAACGAGCGCAACCCUUGCUAUUAGUUGCUACGCAAGAGCACUCUAAUAGGACUGCCGUUGACAAAACGGGGGAAGGUGGGGACGACGUCAAAUCAUCAUGCCCCUUAUGACCUGGGCUACACACGUACUACAAUGGAUGUUAACAGAGGGAAGCAAGACAGCGAUGUGGAGCAAACCCCUAAAAACAUUCUCAGUUCAGAUUGCAGGCUGCAACCCGCCUGCAUGAAGAUGGAAUUGCUAGUAAUCGCGGAUCAGCAUGCCGCGGUGAAUACGUUCCCG
rnacentral:rRNA from 1 species